AACCAAUAACAUACAAUGAAAGAAAAGUAUCAUGUCCUACUUAAGUAUUAGUAAACAGCAAUUCAAAGCUUAUUAAUGGGAAGGUGUAGUGGGUUUCUGUGGCUGGGUUUUGGUAGCGGGGGACUACAGGGCUGGCUUGUGUUAGAAGCUGCUGGAAGCUUCCCCUGUCCCAUGGAGUCAAUGCCAGCCAGCUCCAGGAUGGACUUCCUGCCACUGGCCAAGGCUGAGCCAGUCAGGAGCAAUAGUAACACCUCUGGGAUAAUAUAUUUAAGAACAGAAGAUUGUUGCACAGAAGAAAUUCCAGCCAGGGAAGAGCGGAGUGAGAACAUGGGAACAACAACAUAGACACCAAGGUAACACAUAAUGGAAAGAAAUCAACAGUUGCAUCUGCUGAAAAUCAGAUCACAUCAAAUACACCACCCUUCUAAUGUCUUCAGAAAAGAUACUUUUAAUGACCAUUUACAGUUCUGGGAAGAAGAUAGUUCCUGAUCUCAUCUGUGCCUUACAUUGGACCUUUAACAACGGUACUAAAGAGUGACAUUAAGUGCUAUGGAAUUCAUAAACUUGAUGUUACUUACUCUUUGAAAGACCUUUAAGUAUAGACAGUUUUCUUGCUGCCUUGUAGAACAUUCGGAAACUUAUCUGGUUAGCAGUGUGAGAAAAAAAAAUAGCUAUUUCAUAAGAUUUCUGGAUAUCCAAUAAAAUGCAUUAGAAAACUUU